UCCCUGGUGGCUCAGAGGUUAAAGCGUCUGCCUCCAACGCAGGAGACCCGGGUUUGAUCCCUGGGUCGGGAU
rfam:Ovis aries breed Texel chromosome 8, whole genome shotgun sequence.